rnacentral:misc_RNA from 1 species
CCCUGCUUGUGCAGCGACGACCGAUCCUACAUCCCUUUUCAUUUUUGCUCCAAGAGCGUUAUGCCUUGGACCAAUUUGGUUCCCUGUGUUGUAUACCUACGUUGAUGGAAUUUGCUCGUCCAAUCACCCUUUAUUCACCUUGUGUUGCUUUACGCGGUGCGAGAUGAACCAUGCAGUGUCCUUUGUUGUCCGUUCUUGCCUUGUGUUUGCGCGACGCAUGAAAUGGCCAAUUUCGUGACACUCGAACUCUCGGAUACGGAACCCUAAGCGGGCAACGGGUCUUUGGCCUUGAUUUGCCCAAACUGAGUUCUUACGAACGAUUGUCGCGCCCGUUUUGACCUGAGGAUGCUUUCGGUCCGACUGGCUCAUGCGGUGCAGACGUCGAAGAGGAAUGCUAC